rnacentral:rRNA from 1 species
UGUUAGUCGAGCGAAUCUGAGGGAGCUUGCUCCCAAAGAUUAGCGGCGGACGGGUGAGUAACACGUGGGCAACCUGCCUGUAAGACUGGGAUAACUCCGGGAAACCGGGGCUAAUACCGGAUAAUAUCUAUUUAUACAUAUAAUUAGAUUGAAAGAUGGUUCUGCUAUCACUUACAGAUGGGCCCGCGGCGCAUUAGCUAGUUGGUGAGGUAACGGCUCACCAAGGCGACGAUGCGUAGCCGACCUGAGAGGGUGAUCGGCCACACUGGGACUGAGACACGGCCCAGACUCCUACGGGAGGCAGCAGUAGGGAAUCUUCCGCAAUGGACGAAAGUCUGACGGAGCAACGCCGCGUGAGUGAUGAAGGUUUUCGGAUCGUAAAACUCUGUUGUUAGGGAAGAACAAGUAUCGGAGUAACUGCCGGUACCUUGACGGUACCUAACCAGAAAGCCACGGCUAACUACGUGCCAGCAGCCGCGGUAAUACGUAGGUGGCAAGCGUUGUCCGGAAUUAUUGGGCGUAAAGCGCGCGCAGGCGGUUCCUUAAGUCUGAUGUGAAAGCCCACGGCUCAACCGUGGAGGGUCAUUGGAAACUGGGGAACUUGAGUGCAGAAGAGGAAAGUGGAAUUCCAAGUGUAGCGGUGAAAUGCGUAGAGAUUUGGAGGAACACCAGUGGCGAAGGCGACUUUCUGGUCUGUAACUGACGCUGAGGCGCGAAAGCGUGGGGAGCAAACAGGAUUAGAUACCCUGGUAGUCCACGCCGUAAACGAUGAGUGCUAAGUGUUAGAGGGUUUCCGCCCUUUAGUGCUGCAGCAAACGCAUUAAGCACUCCGCCUGGGGAGUACGACCGCAAGGUUGAAACUCAAAGGAAUUGACGGGGGCCCGCACAAGCGGUGGAGCAUGUGGUUUAAUUCAAAGCAACGCGAAGAACCUUACCAGGUCUUGACUCCUCUGACAUCCUAGAGAAGGACUUUCCC